rnacentral:lncRNA from 10 species
GAAUAAGAGUCUGGAGUUCAGGGGAGAGGCCUGGGUUGGUGAUAUAAAUUUGGGUGUCAUUAGCAUAUGGAGGCAUUUAAAGCCAUGAGGUUGGGUGAGACUGUCCAAGUGUCUAUAAUAAAACCCAAGAAGUCCAACUACCAAGCCCUGGGCCACUCCAAUGUUAGGACUCAGGGAAAUGAAGAGGAACUAGUAAAGGAGACCAAAGAAAGAGCAGCU